rnacentral:rRNA from 1 species
CAGCAGUAGCCGCGGUAAUACGAAGGGAGCUAGCGUUGUUCGGAUUAACUGGGCGUAAAGGGUGCGUAGGCGGGUCUUUAAGUCAGGGGUGAAAUCCCAAGGCUCAACCUUGGAACUGCCUUUGAUACUGGAGAUCUUGAGUCCGGGAGAGGUGAGUGGAACUGCGAGUGUAGAGGUGAAAUUCGUAGAUAUUCGCAAGAACACCAGUGGCGAAGGCGGCUCACUGGCCCGGUACUGACGCUGAGGCGCGAAAGCGUGGGGAGCAAACAGGAUUAGAUACCCCUGUAGUCCCUGUCUCUUAUAC